rnacentral:rRNA from 1 species
GUCUACGGCCAUACCACCCUGAACACGCCCGAUCUCGUCUGAUCUUGGAAGCUAAGCAGGGUCGGGCCUGGUUAGUACUUGGAUGGGAGAACAUAAGGUCCUAGCCC